CAGGUGUGAGCCACCACACCCUGCCUACACUUCCUUUUUUACUGUGAGUGGAAGCAGCCUAAAGCCAUUGUGAUGGUUCAUAUUGAGUGUCAACUUGAUGGGAAUUGAAGGAUGUGAAGUAUUGUUCCUGAGUGUGUCUGUGAGAGUGUUGCCAAAGGAGAUUAACAUUUGAGUCGGUGAACUGAGAGAAGCCACCCUACCUACCAAUGUGGCUAGAAUAAAAGCAGGCAGAAGAACAUAGAAGGACUUGACUUGCUGAGUCUUACAGCCUUCAUCAUUCUCCCAUGCUGGAUGCUUCCCACCCUCGAACAUCAGACUCCAAGUUCUUCAGCUUUUGGACUCUUGGACUUACACCAGUGGUUGGCCAAGGGUUCUCUGGACUUCGGCCACAGACUGAAGACUGCACUGUCGACCUCCCUGUUUUUGAUAUUUUGGGACUCGAACUGGCUUCCUUGCUCCUCAGCUUGCAGAUGGCCUAUUGUGGGACUUCACCUUGUGAUCGUGAACCUUGACAUCAGUUUCACCUCUCCUCUGGGGCUGAGAGAUGGAAAGAAGGGUCAGGAACUUGAACAGAAAUCCAGCCCUCAGUACAUUUCAAUUACCAGCAAAUCUGAUGCCACUGAGAAGCCCCCCGGGUCCCUUGGAUGCAAAGGAAACAUUUAGCACCUAUGUGCUCUUCUCUCCUGCCGAUAUCAUCCAUCUAAAGGAUUUUUCCUGUACCCCGGGAAGAUACACAAAAGUUUGCAGAAAUGCUCCACAGCUUGUGUUUCGUUUACAGCCCUGCACAUAGGGAUGUGCACUGACUUGACUCUUGUGGGGAAUCCUGCAACCAGCCCAUUUUGCUUGUUUGAGGACCUGGAGAUGAUCCACCACCUAAGGUGGCACUGUGACCAGAAGAAAUUGAUUACCACUCCCUACAACUACAGAACUGAGCACGUUGGAGAUCCAUCCAGAGCGACUGCUAGCAGCAGUACUUGAAGCCUUUCCACUAAAGGUUUCCUUUUAAUACAUGGUGUCAGAAGUAGCAUCUGAAAUAGAGCUUCCAGUGACCCCCAGGAGCAUCAAGUAACCAAGCAAGGUACCUGCUGACCCCAUUGUGUUCAUUGUUUUCUCACAGCAACUGGGAAUCAUGGAGACGAGGUCUCACUAUGUUGCCCAGGCUGCUCUUGAACUCCUGGGUUCAAGAGAUCCACCCACCUCAGCCUCCCAAAGUCCUGGGAUUAGAGGUGUGAGGCACCGUGCCAGGCCCUGAUGCAUUUUCUGAAAGCUUUUCAGAAGCAAAUAAAUUGCUAAAGUAUUGUGUCUCCUAAAAGGUUCAUGGAAAGGAUAGAAAGGACCCUGAUAUCAUUUACACUGGGUAAAGGAAGCUUUUCAUGAUGCACUAACUGAAGACAAUGAAACCCUUUAUGAUCUAGAACCUGGAGACUGAGGCUUCUAAAAACAUCAGAAAAAGACUGCCCUGCCACCUACACUGCAGCAGUAGAAUCUUUGGUCCAUGGAGUCACUCAUGCUAAAUGUGACAUAACCAAACUGAAACUGUAUGGAAGCAGAUAGAUCCCAAAAACAGACUAUGGUUGUUUUUGUGGGUUUUUUUGUUUUUUUUUUUUUUUUUUUUUUUUUUUUGUUUGUUUGUUUUUGUUUUUCUCUCUCUCUCUCCUGAAAACAGGAGACUCCAGCAUGAGAAAGCCCCUUCCGGCCCAGUGCGGCGGCUCACGCCUAUAAUCCCAGCACUUUUUGCUUGAGCCCAGGAGUUCCAGACCAGCAUAAUCAACAGGGCAAAACCCCAUCUCUACUAAAAGUAC